rnacentral:rRNA from 1 species
CCUACGGGAGGCAGCAGUGAGGAAUAUUGGUCAAUGGACGGGAGGCUGAACCAGCCAAGUCGCGUGAGGGAAGACGGCCCUACGGGUUGUAAACCUCUUUUGUCAGGGAGCAAGGUGCAGGUCGGGACCGGCGGUGAGAGGACCGGAAGAAAAAGCAUCGGCUAACUCCGUGCCAGCAGCCGCGGUAAUACGGAGGAUGCGAGCGUUAUCCGGAUUUAUUGGGUUUAAAGGGUGCGCAGGCGGAGGCACAAGUCAGCGGUAAAAUCGCGGGGCUCCACCCCGCUCCGCCGUUGAAACUGUGUCCCUUGAGUGCGCGACGGGUAGGCGGAAUGCGUGGUGUAGCGGU